AAUGUUGCCGUACUACAAAAAGUGAGUGUGCCGUACUUGUGUUUGCAUGUGUACGGCUUAGGUUUUAACUAGUUGAGUGCGUGCUUACAGUGCUUAGAUUUUAAUUAAUUAUUUUUUACUAAAAUUAACCAAUUCAUCAAAUCUCGGCCUCCCUUCCAACCGUGGCAUGCUACAAUUAAGGGGAAAGUAACGAUAUCACGCCGCCUACCUCUACCUCUCUACCCGACGACGAUCGACGUCGAAGGCCGAGGCACGCAGGUGCUAGUAAAAAUUAGAAAACCAGAGAAUUUACGUCAUACGCUAUUCUAUGAUCGAUUUCUCCCUAUAGGGUUUCCAUUUUUCUGUCCCCAAAUCCAAAGCAUAGGUAGCCCAUGUACGUGAAAGAAUCUUCUUCUGCCAAUUUAUUUUUACCCUUGGAAGAUUACUCAAUUGGAUCAAAGACUUGUCCUUUCAAGUUGAAAUCAUUGCUAGGGCUAGAAGGAAUGAGUACUCAUGAAAAUUCUGAAGAUGAGAGGAGGCAAUCGAAAAUUUGUAACCACAAGCAGAAAGGGACUAAUGCCUAAUAAAUUCACUCAUUAACUAAAGAGAGAAAAAGAGAAAAGAAAAAUUGACUACGGGUCCCUCAAUGUCAAUAGAGGAGGAUGUACAAGAUUUGCACCAAAGUCUCCUUGACAGGGAUUUGCUACGACCUAUGCACGAUGACUACUUUACUUUGUUGAGAUUUUUGAAAGCUCUUACAUUGGAAAGAUAAUUCAAAUGUGGGGAGAAAUGCUUAACUAGAUAAAUUAUUGAAAAGACAAUAUUUUUGGAGGUAGGUUGUGUCAACAUUUUACAACUCUGUAAAUGUAUGCUUGAGAGUAUCUCAGUGUAGCUGAAAAAGCUAUAAAUAUAAUUUUUCUAUGUAUAUAUAUAUAAUAUUUAUAUGUAUUUUAAUUGCAUUCUUAGCUUGGUGAUAAAUUGAUUUAGGAUUGAAAAUAUUUAUAUGAUUUUGGCA